GACGUAGGGGGCCAGCUUUGCUCGGAAUUACUGGGCGUAAAGGGUUCGUAGGCGGUGCGGCAAGUCGGGCGUGAAAUCUCUGGGCUUAACUCGGAGGCUGCUUCCGAAACUGCCGUGCUCGAGUGCGGGAGAGGCGAGUGGAAUUGCAGGUGUAGCGGUGAAAUGCGUAGAUAUCUGCAGGAACACCCGUGGCGAAGGCGGCUCGCUGGACCGCAACUGACGCUGAGGAACGAAAGCUAGGGGAGCAAACAGG
rnacentral:rRNA from 1 species